GGGGUUCUGGCCGAGUGGUUAAGGCGCUGUGUUUAGGCUCUCAUGUCCGCAGUGGGAAACCGCGCAGGUUCGAAUCCUGCGGACCUCA
rnacentral:tRNA from 2 species